rnacentral:piRNA from 1 species
UGUGACUUAUGGAGGCACCUGUAGGA